AUUCGCUGCCGCUGCGACGGAUGACAGAUUUCUGCAGGGCUGGUGCAAAGAGUGGUGAAAGGGAGCGUGGGUGAGGCUGCGCCGGUGGUACUCCCCCUCGCCGGGCUUAGGGAGCAGGUGGAGCAGCUACCUUCUAGUGGGACUCCAAGAAACCAAUCUGUCUGUCUCUCCCGAUGGGGAAUGUCCUUGAUGCCUUGAAUUCUGCUGGGAAGGGCCCUUCCCGGACCUGCUGCCCUGACAAGCUCAGAGUGGAGCCCCUGGAGUUUUUCAAAGCUGUGGGCAUGACACCCGUUCUUCUGGUGUCCCUCUCCCCCCCAUCAAAGCUCCAUCUUGUUCAAAAAGAAACAAGCCCCCGUUGGAGUCGUUUGCACCCCACCGCAGCACACCAAGACUUCAUCACAAUGUCAACCUCUCCCAGGAAGGUGACCUUUUG
rnacentral:lncRNA from 1 species